rnacentral:lncRNA from 1 species
GGGGGGUUUGGAUCUCUCAACCUUAAGAUUAACGGCAAACACUGACUAGCAAAUAAACAUAGUAAGACAAAGGGGGAAAGAACUUUGGGCCCAAAUCUGAUUUUCAUGUCUGCCUGGGCCAGUAUUUGGGCCUUUGGCCCAUUUACGUCACAUGCACCUGUCCUAAACUAACAUGAGAGAAAUAUAUUAUUUCCUUUGGGCCUCAGGCCCACUUUUCCCACCUAUCCUAAAUUCUAACAAGAAUAAUAAUAAAUAAAAUGACGAGGGCAUAAGCCCAAAAUAACAAAAUACAAUCCUUUUAUAAAGAUUAGGCCUUUGGCACAAUCUUUUCAAUCUUCUGAUCUGUCGCAUAUUCUUUCGACUUGGGACCUGUUAGUUGAUUUUCAAUGGCCGGUUGACUCGAUAAAGGAAUUUGAGUUUUUAUGGCUCUCCCGAAAUGCAAGGGAAAGAUGUGAGUUCACAAUGGACUCGGAUGGGGUUCAUGUCAAACAAAGAAAAUAAUACAUUAGCCUUUGCUUAAUAAAAUUAAUGAAAUAGCUAGCAGAUACAUCGAUUAGGUGAGAAUAAAUAAAUAAUUAUUUAAGUUAGAAAAGCUAUCACUUUGCUUUCACACCUCUAAUUGGCUAAUUGGAGAAGUGAAAUGAAUAAAUACUAAACACAGUGAAAAGAGUUUAUGCAUAACUAGAAAAUUGUAGCAUUAAGCAACACUUCAUCAAUUCACUAAACGGUGAGCGAUAUUUUAAAGUGCGAGACUCGCACAAACGAUCAAAACUUAAUUUCCUUUCGAAACUUGAACCAGAGAAACAAUAGGCAUAGACCAUGAAUACCCGAGCAUUACUCUUGAAUAGAAUCAGGAACAUAGGAAGGGCAAGUAGAAACGAUCAAGUAGGAAACUAACAAUAUUGCUCAAACCAACAUAGUUUCAACAACCCAAACAUGGUAAUCAAAUAUUUAAAGAUAAAUCUAUGAAUCACCAUUUUUAAAUGAAGUACCAUAUUAAGACCAAACUAGAUAGAGACCGCGAAACUUAACACCAUCUAAAUGAAAGGAAAAACAGAUCUUGACAGCAAGCAAUUUUGACAAAAAAUUAAACUAGGUAGGGAGCAUGGACUUUAUUCGAACAAAGCGUGAGGAUAACAAACACUUGACUUAAACCAGUAAGUAGGAGAAAGCAAACACGCAGGCUGAACUAGACAAAUAGUAAAGCAAACCGACAACAUGAAAUAAAUGCUAACCAAACCAAGAAGAAACAAUAGAAAACUCUUUAAGCAUACUAGACUAAGACCAAUCAAAAUAAACAUGUUCAUGCUAAUUAGUCAUUGGACAGAUUUUAAAACAAAUGGCCGCAACCGAAAGAAGAACGAGCUUGUUGCACCUAAGGGAUGGCAAAUACAGUAACAUUCAUUAAGUAGCUUCAAGAUCAUGAAUCAACAUUCACAAACAAAACAACAACAAACCCAAGAACAUGUCUUAUGCUUCAAACAACUAAGAUACAUUUAAUCUAAAAUCAACAGUCCGUCACUAGGCAUCAGUUAUAAAUCACAAAAUAGAUAAAAAUGUGUAGAGACAUAUAUGAGAAGGAGAGGAAAAAUCAUUAGGGAGCUUCAUUUCUUCCAGUGUGAUGCCAAUUAAAGACAAAUGAACGGAGGUGAAAAGGAAAUAUACCUUUAUGGGAGCAGC